rnacentral:rRNA from 1 species
GACGAACGCUGGCGGCGUGCUUAACACAUGCAAGUCGAACGGAAAGGUCCUGCUUUUGUGGGGUGCUCGAGUGGCGAACGCGUGAGUAACACGUGAGUAACCUGCCCUUGACUUUGGGAUAACUUCAGGAAACUGGGGCUAAUACCGGAUAGGAGCUCCUGCUGCAUGGUGGGGGUUGGAAAGUUUCGGCGGUUGGGGAUGGACUCGCGGCUUAUCAGCUUGUUGGUGGGGUAGGGGCUGACCAAGGCUUUGACGGGUAGCCGGCCUGAGAGGGGGACCGGGGACAUGGGGACUGAGAGACGGCGCAGACGGCUACGGGAGGCAGCAGUGGGGAGUAUUGCACAAUGGGCGGAAGCGGGAGGCAGCGACGCCGCGUGCGGGAUGACGGCCUUCGGGUUGUAAACCGCUGUCGCCUGUGACGAAGCGUGAGUGACGGUAAUGGGUAAAGAAGCACCGGCUAACUACGUG